ACUUAGCGGCGGGCGGGUGAGUAACGCGUGGGUAACCUGCCUUACACUGGGGGAUAACAGUUAGAAAUGACUGCUAAUACCGCAUAAGCGCACAGGGCCGCAUGGUCUGGUGUGAAAAACUCCGGUGGUGUAAGAUGGACCCGCGUCUGAUUAGGUAGUUGGUGGGGUAACGGCCCACCAAGCCUACGAUCGGUAGCCGGACUGAGAGGUUGAUCGGCCACAUUGGGACUGAGACACGGCCCAGACUCCUACGGGAGGCAGCAUG
rnacentral:rRNA from 1 species